rfam:Pan troglodytes isolate Yerkes chimp pedigree #C0471 (Clint) chromosome Y, whole genome shotgun sequence.
AAUAAGAUGAGAAGACCCUAUAGACCUUUAAUUCAUUAAUGUAAAUAAAAGCUCAAAAAAGACUACAGGCCCUAGUGUACUAUUCAUGCAUUAAAAAUUUGGGUUGGGAUGACCUCGGAGCAUAAUUGAAUCUUUGCACAACCUAAACUAAGACUGCACUAGUCUAAGUGAGUGGAUACUUUUUGAUCCAAUAAUUUGAUCAAAGAAAUAAAUUACCCGAGGGAUAAUAGCAUAAUCCGAUUCUAGAGUGUAUAUCUACAAUGGGGUUUAUGACCUUGAUGUUGGAUAAGGACAUCCUAAUAGUGUAGACACUAUUAAGGAUUUCUUUGUUCAAGUAUUAAAGUCCUGUGUGAUCUGAGUUCAGACCAGAGUAACCCAGGUUGGUUUCUAUCUAUU